rnacentral:lncRNA from 1 species
AUUGAGAUGCUAAAAUGAGAGAGCUAAAUUGGAAAGCUUUUUCCACAUAGGGGGCCGUGAGCAGGUGGCUGUUUUGUCCUCUGGCACCUUUGGCUCAGACUUAAGCAGCUUCAACGACCGCCAAGAUGCCUGCCAUGCCCACCAAGAUUUAAAGGACUCUGAUAAUUCUUUCUCUCCCCAAACGGUGUUUUCCUUAUCUAAUCCUAAUAACCAAGCCUGGAGGAAUCCCUGACUUCGUGAUUGAAGGCUCUCCAGGUCCCCUAGUUUAAGGGCAGAGAUUUACUUUCUCUGAGGCUACAAAGGAGCGUCUGCGAGAAUGUCUCUACCUUAGACAAAACAGGGAGGAGGGGUGGAGCUCUCCAAAUUGCCUCUGGUUUGGGCUUUUUCUUUCUGUUUUGGUGUAUCGUCUCUGGCCAACAACACCUGUGAGUCCUUGAUGUGACGAUUAGGGAAGAUGUUUUUAAUUCACAUAACUAUUCUUUAGAGAAAAUUGAUCCUGAAACACCUUAUUGCCUUAUCGUAGAAUGACUGCAUUACUCAGAAUUCUUUACCUCUACCGGAAUUUAGUGAAGGGAAGGCACAACGUACAUUAGGAAAAUACAGGACACACUCCAGUCCUUAAACCUUCCACAAUCUUCUAGCUCUUUAAGGUCGAGUGUGAUCCUCCCCAGAACUGCAUCUUCCAGGAAGCUCAUGAGAAAGGAAGGAUCCCAGGUCCCAUCUCUGAUCUGAGUCGGCAUCUGCGUUUUAACAGAAUCCUGAAGCAGUGGUCUAACUCCUUUGGUGGUGUUAUUGUUUGCAUGUAUACCUCCAAAAUUCACAUAUUGAAAUACUAACCCCCAAGGUGAUAGUAUUAGGAGGUGGGGCCUUUGGGAGGUAAUUAAGUCAUGAGGGUGAAGCCCUCAUGAAUGGGAUUAGUACUCUUAGAAAAGGGACCCCAGAGAGGUCUCUUUCCACCAUGUAAGGAUAAAAGUACACGGAGAAGAUGGCAAUCUGCAAACUGGAAAAGGGCCCUCCUCAGAACCUGACCAUCUUGGCACCUUGAUCUCAGACUUCCAUCUUCCAGAACUGUGAGAAAUAAAUUUCUUUUAUAAACACUCAGUCAAUGCUACUUUAUUAUAGCAGCCUGAAUGGAUUAAGACAGGUGGUCUGGUUUAAAGUGAUGUGGUGGCAUCAGAAGUUUAAGGAGAGACUGGAUUUACAGAACCAGAAUCUGGGAUGCUGUUUACAGAGCAAGUUAUUUCCUGCAUUUGGACACUGUCAGCAGGUCGAUUCAGGAGACAGGUGAAAACUUUAUCACCGGGCAGCCUGGAUGAACACCACAACUUUGAUAUCUUUCACUUAAAGGAAAGAUAAGGGCAUCCACUAUUUCUACACCUGGCUGGCAGAGUGAGAGCUCACCAAAGCACUUACAAAUUCAUGGACUAUUAUGAAGACAAGUUAAGAGAUUGUGUCCUCCAAACUCAUCAUUUUUCAGAAAUUGUAUCACAAUCCUACAAGAUAAAUGCACAAGAUAAUUCUUCAAAUCAUUGAGAGUGUAAUCUAUAAUCUUCCUAAACAACGAACAGUAUAGCACUGGUUAAGGAAAUCAUAUAUCAGCAUAAAGAAAUGUCAACAAGAACUAAGAAGGAAAGCGCUGCCGAGGUUUGCCAGGCAUCCAAGACCUUGCUGUUGAAGCAUAACCUCUGACCCCUGUGCAACCCACAGCAAGACAACCGAAACCCACCCCCCAAACAGUGCACCUGUUUAAACCAUCUGCAGAGCCCUGAUUGAAUAAAUUUCCCUUGCACUUCAUUUAUACCAACAGAAUUCUCAUGGCUGAAGCUAAAUUCUGCAAUGAAGUCAUCUAUGGAAAUAUUGCUGGUUCCACCCCAACUUAUCUAGGCAGGUAGUGCUAAUGAACAUCUAUGCAUUACGUGGAAAUGCUUUAGAAAUCUGUUGAUUAGUUCACUUCAGAAAUGAAGAAAUCUAAGCAUCUGAUUGGAUAAAUGACCUGUCUCUUAUAAGAUCACUGAAAUACUGGCAGGCACAACCAAAAAGAAGGUUUUCUUUCUUUCACUCCGAGGUCCCUUGUAAAGCUCAUUCAGAACACUCAAGUUUGAUUCCGUUCAAUGCAGUUUUCACCUGUUAUACAUGUUCAUUUGGAUAAGGAAUAUUAGAUAUUGCUUGAGGAGAUACACAGUUUGUUUUUAAGGAUCUUUUUCGUGCAAAAAAAAAAAAAAAAAAA